GACGAACGCUGGCGGCGUGCUUAACACAUGCAAGUCGAACGAAGUGGCGAACGGGUGAGUAACACGUAAUCAACCUGCCCUUCAGAGGGGGACAACAGGUAGACAAGACUGCUACUACCUCAUAGUACAGGAGGGGAGUGCGUCGUAUGAGCUAGUUGGAGGGGUAACGGCCCACCAAGGCGAUGAUCAGUAGCCGGGCUGGGGGGAUGAACGGCCACAUUUGGACUUGGACACGGCCCAGACCCCUACGGGAGGCAGCAGUGGGGAAUCUUUCGCAAGGGAAGAAAGUCUGACGGAGCAACGCCGCGUGAGUGAUGACGGCCUUCGGGUUGUAAAGCUCUGUUAAUCGGGAAGCGGUACCGGAAUAGAAAGCCACGGCUAACUACGUGCCAGCAGCCGCGGUAAUUC
rnacentral:rRNA from 1 species